rnacentral:lncRNA from 1 species
AGGGACUGCGGGUCUGGAUAUUCCGUCGUGGACUACGUUUCCCACUGACGACGGAGAAAACUUGGUCCUUUGGCUCCGCGCUGCGCGUGACCUGCAGUCACCUGAGCAAGAGGGCGGCGUGGGUCGCUGCGGGAGCCCCUACAGCCCCAGCCCGCAGCCCACGUGGCACCCUACAGGGCUGUGAGAGUGGGGCUGCUGGAGGCGUUCAGAGCGCGGAGGCCCCAGGCGCGGGCCGGGCUCUCUCCCGCCUCCUCAGGCCCGGGGGUGCUGGAGCUGCCGAGGUGGGGGCUCAUCUUUGGGAGACAGUGUCUUUGCUCAGUUCAAAAGCCACAGAAGAAGUUCUGGACGAUGUGGGCCUUCAAUCUUCUAAGAUGGGAAUAGAAAGAAGAGGAUCUACCCAGACCAGGACCCUGCUGCCCAAUCUCAGCUCUGGCUUUCUGGAUCUGUGCUUCUCUGGUAGAGGAACCCUGAGGACUGAUCUACUCUUGCAGUUCUAAAACCAUGGCCCAUGACAUGACUUUUCUAAGCCAGAUGUAAUUACAUCAUUGGAGCAAGGAAAAGAGCCCUGGAUGAUUGUAAGGGAAGAAAAAGGAAGAUGGUGUACAGGCCUCGCUAUUCCCUGGGACACAACAAUAUUGAACGUAGGCUAGUUAAUAGCCCUACAAUCUCCUCUAAGUGUUCGAGUGAAAGGAAGAGUCACAUGUGUCUCACUUUAAACCAAAAGCUAGAAAUGAUUAAACUUAGUGAGGAAAGCAUGUUGAAAGUCCAGACAGGCUGGAAGCGAGGUCUCCUGUGCCAAACAGCAGGCCAAGUUGCACAUGCAAAGGAAAUGUUCUCGAAGCAAAUUAAAAGUAUUACUCCAGUGAACACACAAUGACAAGAAAGCGAAACAGUUUUAUUGCUGAUGUGGAGAAAGUUUUAGUGGUCUGGAUAGAAGAUCAAACCAGCCACAACGUUCUGUUAAGCCUAAACCUAAUCCAGAGCAAGGCCCUAAUGCUCUUCAAUUCUAUGGAGGCUGAGAGUUGAGGAAGCUGUGGAAGAAAAGUUUGAAGCUAGCAGAGAAUAAUUCAUGAGGUUGAAAGAAAGAAGCUGUCUCCAGAACAUAAAAGUGCAAGGUGAAGCAGCAAGUGCUGAUGGAGAACCUCCAGCAUGUGAUCCAGAAGACCUAGCUGAAAUAACUGAUGAGGGUGACUGCAUUAAAUAACAAAUUUUCAUUGUAGACAAAACAGCCUUCUAUUCAAAGAAGAUGCCAUCUAGGACUUUCAUGGCUAGAGAGGAGUCAAUGGCCGGCUUCAAAGCUUCAAAGGAAAUGCCAUGUCUCCUGUUAGGGGCUAAUGCACCUAGUAACUUUAAGUCAAAGCUCAUGUGUAUUUACCGUAAUGAAAGUCCUAGGAUCCUAAAGAAGGGUGCUAAAUCUACUCUGCUUGUGCUCUAUAAGUAGAAGAACAAAGCCUAGAUGACAGCACAUCUCUUUAUAGCAUAGUUCACUGAAGAUUUUAAGCCCAAUAUUGAGACCCACUGCCAAGAAAGAUAGAUCAUUUUCAAAAUAUUACUGCUCACUGACAAUGUGCCUCAUCACCCAAGAGAUGUGAUGGAGAUGUAUAAGGAGAUUAAUGUGGUUUUCAUGCCUAUUAACACAACAUCCAUUCUUCAGCCAAUGAAUCAAGGAUUAAUUUUGACUUUCAAGUCUUAUUUAAGAAACACAUUUUGUAUGGCAAUAGCUGCCAUAGAUAGCAGUUCUUCUCAUGGAUCUAGGGAAAGUAAACUGAAAACCUUGUGGAAAAGAUUCAGCAUUCUAGAUGCAAUUAAGAAUACCUGUGAUUCAUGGGAAGAAGUCAGGUAUCAACAUGAACAGAAGUUUGGAAGAAGUUAAUUCCAACCCUCACGGAUGACUUUCAGAGGUUCAAGACUUCAGUGGAGGAAGUAACUGCUGCAGUUACUUGUGGUGGAAAUAACAAGAGAAAUAGAAUUAGAAGUGGAGCUUGAUGAUGUGACUGAAUUGCUGCAACCUCAUGAUCAAACUUGAAUGGAUUAAGAAUCUACUCCUGGUGAAGAUGCUUUGAACAUUGCUGAAAGGACAAGGAUAUUAAAAUAUUACAUUAAUUUAGUUGAUACAGCAGUGGCAGGGUUUGAGAAGAUUGACUCUAGUUUUGAAAGAAGUUCUAUUUGAGUAAAAUGCUAUCAAACAGCACCACAUGCUACAGAGACAUCUUUCAUGAAAGGGAGAGUGAACUGAUGCAGCAAACUUCUUUGUCUUAUUUUAAUAAAAUGUUAUACCCACCUCAACCUUUAGCACCCACCAGUCAGCAGCUAUCAAUAUCAAGGCAAGACCAUUCACCAACAACAAAAAAAAUGACAACUCGCUGAAGGCUCAGAUGAUCAUUAGCAAUUUUCAGCAAUAAAGUGUUUUUAAUUAAGGUAUCUGCAUUGAUUUUUUUUUAAGAUGAAAUUUUGCUCUUGUCACCCAGGCUGGAGUGCAGUGCUGCAAUCUCAGCUCACUGCAGCCUCCGCCUCCCGGGUUCAAGUGAUUCUUCUGCCUCAGCCUCCUUAGUGGCUGGGAUUACAGGUGCCUAGCACCACGCCCAGCUAAUUUUUAUAUUUUUGGUAGAGACGGGGUUUCACCAUGUUGGCCAGGCUGGUCUUGAACUCCUGACCUCAGGUGAUAUGCCCGCCUCGGCCUCCCAAAGUGCUGGGAUUACAAGUGUGAGCCACCACGCCCAGCCUGUGCAUUGAUUUUUUAGAUAUAAUGCUACUGCACACUUAAUAGACUACAGUCGAGGGUAAAUAUAACUUUUAUAUGCACUGGGAAACUAAAAAAUCCAUGUAACUUGCUUUACUGCAGUAUUCACUUUAUUGCAGUGGUCUGGAACCAAACCCACAAUAUCUCCAAAAUAUGCCUGUAGUCAGUGGGACACAUGAUGCUUCUUUGGUUGGGAGAUUUGUGGACAUGAGUCUUGAGGAAUCUUGAGAAAUUGAAGAAAUGAUGGAAAGACAGGCUAGUCAGUGGUCAGAAGGAAAGGGGUAGGUGCUGGGUAAAAGAGCAAAUUGAAACAAAGAACAAAGAGGGAGGAAGAGAAUUUAUUUAUUUUUAUUUUUAUUUUUUUGAGACUGAGUCUCACUCUGUUGCCCAGGUUAGAGUGCAGUGGCACCAUCUCAGCUUGCCGCAACAUCCGCCUCCCGGGUUCAAGCGAUUCUUGGGCCUCAGCCUCCCAAGUAGCUGGGACUACAGGCAUGCACCACCACACCCGGCUAAUUUUUGUAUUUUUAAUAAAGACAGGGUUUCACUAUGUUGGCCAGGCUGGUCUCGAACUCCUGACCUCGGGUGACCUGCCCGCCUUGGCCUCCCAAAGUGCUGGGAUUACAGGCAUGAGCCACUGUGCCUGGAAGGAAUAGAAUUUAAAAAGCAUUUUUGAAAUGGGAAGAAACAGAUUUUGGAGGAUAGGAGAUGGAAGGAACCAGAAGAGGAGAAGGUCACCAUCCAACUUACUGCAUUUUCUGGAGAGUUUCGUGUUUCUUCAGCAGGUGUACCAGCCUGGUCUUGGUUUGGAUGCCUGUGACUCUUACCAUAAGGUAUAAGGCCUUAGCCUGCACAUUCUCAUCACUGUCCAUCAAUCCCAUAGCCAGUGGAAUAGCAAAAUGAUGGUUCAUGAGGCCUAGCCUAUCCAGCGCCUCCCAGGGUAGUUCACGGAUACGUGGAUUGGAAUGGAUUGUGUCUUGUAGGAGGCGAUGGGCAGUCUUAGAAACCAACUCUGAAGAUAUCUGGCAAGUGGCAAAAAUACGUUUAAGUACCCUAAAAUAUCUCUUGUAUUCCUCUACAGAGCAGUAAAUUGUGAGGUUGAGGAUGGCCUCUAUUAAAUCAUCCAUAAGCCUUCCACUAUAUUUUCUUCUCAUCCAAUUUUGGUUUGCCAUGCUUUCAAGAAUAUCAAGGGAAGUUCCUUUUCGCACCUUGGAUUUAUCCUUUUGUUGACUCCUUGAAAUUUUCUCUUCUACUAGAGUCAUAGAUGACAAGUCCCAGUCCUUAACUUGGUAGGAUGAAUACAGAUCACAGCAUAGGAAGACUGGGGUACCCUCAGGCCAAGGGCGAGCACGGAUCACUGAGUUGGGGAUGGCCAUCAGGAGCAAAGGGCCAUUGCCGCCCUUGACCAAAGAAGCACUGUGGCAUUUGGUAGGCAUUGAAUCCAUCCCAGCCAGCCAGCUGCAACGGAGCAGGAACCUCAUGUCGGGGACGAUUAUACUUGGAAUCAAGAGUAGAGAAAUCAAUAUCCUUAUCCUCCAAAAGAGGAAAUUUGGUCUUUUGAAUCACAAGGGACAUGCUUCUCUCUUCUUCUACAACAUGAGGCACAGUAUUGUCAAAAGCAAUGAACCGUUUGUUGACAAGGGUCUCUAGCCCCUGUAAUUCCUGCCGCCCUUUUCCAAGGUAGACAAAUCUGGGUACAAAUACUGUUUCAAACAUAAAGAAGAAGCUAGGAAGGAAGGGUUUAGGGACUUCUUGUAUUUCAUCUGCAUUUUUUAGGAUACGCAGGUGAACCAGCUGAGCUGGAGGGAGCAGCUUUAAGCAAGAUACUAUGUAGAUACGCUGGUUGAAAGUCAACAACAGGUCACUUCGAUUACUGGCAAAGCAGAGUGGUCCAAAAUGCAGGGCUGAGUCGAACUCGGUUACAAGUCUACCGUGGAAGUCCCAGAUCCGGACUGAGCCAUCAAUGCCACCUGUGACAAAAAGUUUCAGGGGAAGGCAGACAUCAAAUGAAGUGAUGUCACACUCAUGCAGGCAUUUUGUCUCUCUCCACACAAAGCUCUGUUUUGAUUCUGAAGAUGUCAGAAAGCCUUCAUAGUGCCAGAGACACCAGCAGUAGCUUUCAGUGAUGGCACCCACAGAACCUGGCAAGAGUAUCACACGUUUUAGGGGGCAGCCACAGAGGAUUUUGCUGACAGGCUGAAGGACUACCUUGUUCACCUGAAGCACGGCCUCUGUCAAGUGUAUGAUGUUAUCCGUGCCAUAGGAACAGAGCAAGGCGUUUCCCUGAGGGCCUUCCAGGGUAGACAAUGCCAAUACUGCCCCAGAGUGAACAGUCUUCUCUAUUCGGGCACAACUAUAGUGGGAAAGGGUUCUCACAAUGCCACUCUCAUGCCCACAGAACAUCAAUCCUCCUAGGCCUUUUUGCAGAUGGGACCUCCCAUAGGCCAAGCAUCUUACUGUAUCCUUACGGUCUGCUGAAGUGCACACAAGAUACUUGGCUGUACAAGGAGAGCGUGUUGCAUCAAACACCAGCACCUCUGAACUGCCUAUUGCCACAAAGAGUUCCUCUCUCUCUGAGUCAUAGGCCCAAGCCAAAGCCUUAUCCAUAACAAGUAGAGGCCAAGUGAUAACCAGGAGAUCCCCUGUUACUGGAGACAAGAAGCGCAAUAAACCAUCCUCAGUGGCACAUAGAAUCCGAGUCCAGUUAUGGCCGCAGCAGACCCGCUGCACUUGCUGGGGAGCAGAACCACAGACAUUGAAGAGGCUAUAAAAGUAGGGCAGGUGAUGCAAUGAAAAACUGUAGGUGGUCUGGCAGAAAAAAGUGGUAUUAUCAAUAAACUGCAGUCUCUGAAGAUCCUCGUCAAUAUUCAGCUGCCGCAGCAAGUUCCCAUAAGUGAGAUUCCAUUCCCUCACUAUGCCUUCACUGCCUGCUGUUAGUAAGGUGUGGAUCUCUGGCCGGCUAUGGAUACAUAUCACUGAUGAGGAAUGGGCUUGAAAGCUGUGGAGGAAGUUACCUUGGUCUAAACCCCAAGCGUGGAUCUCUCCAGCCCUGUUUCCAGCAUAGAAAUUGCCCUGAGAGACACAAGUAAAGGAGCAAGUGAUGGAAGAGCCACUGGCGACAGGAGUGAACUUCACUUCUUCCAGCUGGCCCUGACCCCGGUGAAUGAAGACCCUCACUGUAUCCUCACACAGAGCCAACAGGGAUCCCUGGGGGCCAUUCAGGGAAAAUCCCUGUACAAGCUCAUGAUCAGCCAUAGGUACUAUUUGAGCCAUCUCGAUGCCCAUGCCAUUUGGUAAGAUAAACCAGGUAACCACAGCCCCCAGGGUACCAGAGAGCAGCAACUCAGCUUCUGGAUCAUAGAAGAGGCAGCUGGUGGAGAAAUGACAGGGCACUGUACCCAGAAAUCUGAACGUUCGACGGUGAUCUCCAAAAAGCCUCAGGCGCAUGUCACCACAGUAAGCAAUUAACAUGUGGUAGGAACCUGUGUGGACCAUUGCUUGAAUGGGCGGCCACUGAUCCAUCAUGCGAAGCCUCAUCUUCUCUACCAUUCCUUUCAUUUCUGUACCCUUUUUUUGUAUCCAAAGUACUGCCUAGAAGAGGAUGAGAGAUGAAAGCCUGACUGUGGAGGUGGAUCAUUUUCCAAAGUGUGGGGUAGGGAAGGCUGAAUAUUCAGAUCCCUGUUCCCUCUGGUGUGACUAAGGAAAGACUAGACAGCUUGACUUUAGGAAUCUCCUAGUACAGCAGCUCCCACUUACCCAUGGUUUCCCUUUCUGUGGUUUCAACUACCUGUGUGGUCAACUGCAGUCCAAAAAUAUCAAAAGAAAAAUUCCAGAAAUAAACAAUUCAUAAGUUUUAAAUGGCAUGCUGUUCUGAGUAGCAGGAUGAAAUCUCAGGCAGUCCCAUUCCAUCCUGCCUGGGACUUGAAUUAUCCCUCUGUCCAGCCUAUCUACACUACAUACCCUAUCUGCCUGUUACGUCACUUAGUAGCCAUUGCAGUUAUCAGAUUAACUGUCGCAGUAUCGCUGUGCAUGUGUUCAAGAAACCCUCAUUUUAUUUCAUAAUGGUCCCAAAGCACAAGAAUAGUAAUACUGGCAAUUCAGAUAUGCCACAGAGAUGCCACAAAAUGCUUCCUUUAAGUGAAAAGGUGAAGGUUCUUGACUUAAUAAGGAAAGCAAUUGUAUGCUGAGGUUGCUACCAUCUAUAGUAAGAAUGAAUCUUCUUGGCCGGGUGCAGUGGCUCACGCCUGUAAUCCCAGCACUUUGGGAGGCCAAGGCGGGCGGAUCACGAGGUCAGGAGUUCGAGACCAGCCUGAAUAACAUGGUGAAACCCUGUCUCUACUAAAAAUACAAAAAUUAAUCGGGCAUGGUGGUGCGUGCCUGUAAUCCCAGCUACUCAGGAGGCUGAGGCAGGAGAAUCACUGGAACCUGGGAGGCGGAGGUUGCAGUGAGCCAAGAUCGUGCCACUGCACUCCAGCCUGGGCAGCAGAGUGAGACUCUGUCUCAAAAAUAAAAAAAAAAAAAAGAAUGAAUCUUCUGUGAAAUUGUGAAGGAGGAAAGACAAAUUCAUGCUAGUUUUGCUGUUGCACCUCAAGUGCACGCAUUAUGGACAUAGUGCAUGAUAGCACUUAGUUAUGAGGGAAAAAGCACAAAAUUUGUAGGUGAGCCACAUGAACACAAACAUGUUCCAAUUGAUGGCAGUCAGGUUUGGUACUAUCUGCAAUUUCCGAUGUCCACUGGGGGCUUGGAAUGUAUCCCCCAUGAAUUCGUGGGGACUAUUAUACUAGGAAUUGGGUAUGUGAUAGAAGCACCAUGUUCAAGGCCCUUUUCUUGGCCUUCAGUCUACUUGAUGGAGAAUAUGAAUUCUGAGGGCCUGAUAACAUGAGGUGAAGAAGGAUCACUGCAUCCAGUCAAACUGGGAUAUGGAGAUGGGUACUAAAAUGAGCUAAUUCACAGUCACUACCAUCAUUCUAAAAUGAGGGCAGUUCAGGUGUGAUGCAUGUAAAUUGAAUUAAGAAGGAGAGGGGGAAAAACGAGGUGGCUUUACCUGCAUUUUUCCACAGGGUUCCAUCCAGUUUAAGGAGACAAAACAGUUGACCUUGAUGGAGUAGUAGAAGCAGACAAAAGGCUUGUUCUGUGGAUGGUGAGACUCCCGGUAUAGAGUCUCAGGCCAGUCACUCAGUAGAACCACAUCAUUCUUUGGUUCUUCAUCAUUCUGAGAGAGAAGAAUGACCUGAGUUAAGAGUUCUGAGUCCCCACUCAUUCACUCAUUUCAGAAAUAUUUACUGGCCAGGUGUGGUGGCUUGCACCUGUAAUCUCAACACUUUGGGAGGCCAAGGCAAGCAGAUAGCUUGAGCCUAGGAGUUUGAGACCAAUCUGGGCAACACAGCAAAGCCCCAUCUCUACAAAAAAUACAAAAAUUAGCUGGGCAUGGUGGUGCAUGACUGUAGUCCCAGCUACUCGGAAGGCUAAGUAAGACAGGAGGAUCGCUUGAGCCCAGGAGGUCAGGCCACAGUGAGCCAUGACUGUAGCACUGCACGCCAGCAUGGGUGACACAGCGAGACCCUGUCUCAAUAAGUUUAAUAAAUAAAUAAAUAUUUACUGAGAGAUGAGUGGUCAUUUGUUGUUUUUGAGCUAACCAACGUUUACCCUACUACUGGAAAGCAGCACUGGAGGGGUCAUCCCUCCCUCACCCUCAGUUUGCAACAGAAUACAUCUGUAUCAAUUGGUCUCUUCUACACUUUCUCAACCAAGUUUCCAUAAAAAAAAGUAAGCCCUCAUGUCCUAAAGUAUCCAAUCUACAUAAUGAAUUGAUUUCUUUCCUAGUCAUCUAGAAUGCUA